UGCGUAGGGACCAAGCGUUGUUCGGAUUUACUGGGCGUAAAGGGCGCGUAGGCGGCAAUUCAAGUCAGUUGUGAAAUCUCCGAGCUUAACUCGGAACGGUCAACUGAUACUGUCUUGCUAGAGUACAGAAGGGGCAAUCGGAAUUCUUGGUGUAGCGGUGAAAUGCGUAGAUAUCAAGAGGAACACCUGAGGUGAAGACGGGUUGCUGGGCUGAUACUGACGCUGAGGCGCGAAAGCUAGGGUAGCAAACGGG
rnacentral:rRNA from 1 species